rnacentral:miRNA from 10 species
AAAUUGUUAGAAAUGCAAAUUCUCAGGUUCCACCCAGUGCCUACUAAAGUGGCAUGCUUGGGAGUGAAGCCCAGGAAUCUGCAUUUUAACAAGCUCUUGAGAUGAUUCUGAUGCUUGCUAACA